rnacentral:lncRNA from 1 species
AUUAGAGCCGAUCUUCAGGAGGAAGGCUCCUGCUGUGAGAUGUAUGAGGAGCUGUGGUUUGGUUUGACCCUGACUGGAAGGAUCUUUCUUCUAAGGAGAGGCAGGUAGUUCAUUAACCCAGGAUUGCUGCAGAGAGGAGAAAGCAGGGGUGAGGUGAAAGGGGGUGGGAGGUGAGGUGAAAUGAGGAGUUUCCGCUGAAUCAGAGUGGAGUCUGGGCCCAAGAAACCCGGGCUCAGAAAGGGACCCUGGGGCGAUCCAGUUGGUAAAUAGCUUAAGACCAAUUGAUUUCUUGCUUUAGUGUUUUCUUUUUCUGAUGCAUCUCCACCUCUCCCCAUAGCCAACCGCUGUUAUUCCAAAGAACAGCCAUUUACCACCUGCAGGGCUGUAGUCUGCGGGUUGGACAAAGGAAACCUGGAGAUUGUGAAAGGGAGCCUGGGAUGAACAGAAAUGAGGUGAGCAGGGAAGCUCAUCUAGGACUAUGACUGGACACUCCUGAAAAGUUAUGUCUAUAGAGACCGAUGGACCAGUGAUUAGAAUUUCAGUACAGUAGGGAGACUGGAAUGUUUCUGGGCCAGAGGCUAACUACCUUCUGUUGGGCUAGUUCUAGCCCUCUGGAGCAGUCAUUCCUUGCUGAUCUCUGCAAGGCCUUUAACAUAAUAGAUUAAAAACCUUUGCAGACUCACAGUCUUCGGUCAGUCCCAAAGCUAAGAAUGUCAUCCGAUAGCAUCUUGGGUGUAUAGAAAAGUCUCCCCCAUCUUGCUGUAACCACCUCUCUGAUGUAACCACCAAUAUAGUUUAAACUUGCCUUGACUUAUGUCUUUCUUUGUUCUGCAAAACUAGGAAGACUUCAUGAAACGGCUUCUACAUUGGAACAUGAGAUUUGGGGUAGUCUACAUCUGUUCAUGGGCAUGAUCAUUUCAAAUGGCUCCAAAAUAAACUGUCUUUUAUUCCCUUUAAGAUGACAGCUGUAGAUUUUGCAUUGCUAGGCAGUACUAACUGAAUGGGAUGUCAGUCGUGGUUCAAGACUUAGCAGCAUCGUGACUUUAGGAGGUCACAGAGUGUCAGCAUUUGGGGUUACAGGUAAGAGUCACAGCUCCCUACUGUUUCACUUGGCAGUGGGGGAUGGGAAUUCCCUUAGAGUUUUAGGAAUCUCAACUCAAGCCAGACCAACACUGAAAAGACUUCAGGACUAGCCAGUAUGGUAGAGUUGGGCAUUUUAUGAAAGAUCUUUAUUGUUACUAUUAUUUUUACUUAUUAAUUAUUAUUGUUGAUUUUAUUUGAGACAAGGGGUCUUUGUGUAGCCCUGGGCAUCCGAGAACUUGCUCUGUAGACCAGGCUGUCCUUGAACUUAGACCUGCUUGCUUCUGCCUCCUCAGUGCUAGGAUUUAAAGGCUUGCACCAUCACCAACCAUCAAAAGAGCUUUUUAAUACAGACUUAAGCACGACGAUGAAGAGAACCAGAAUUCACAAUUAAGAUUCUGGUAGAAUUUGCAGUCAUGACUGUAUCCAUGAGUGCUUCCACAGCAACACCUGACAUUAUAAUAGAUUAACCAAAAGCUAACCUACUGGGCUUCAGGAAGGUAGAGUACCUUUUCUAUGGGCAAAGUUGUCUGUGUUGUAAAUCAAGUGGACUAGCUCCCCCUUUAAAAGGUCCAUGUUUCUUCUCUGUCUUCCAGUGUCUCUGUCUCUCUGUCUCUAUCUCUCUCUCAUGUUCUCACAUCUGGACAGCCUUUUGUUUCCCCCCUCUACAACUAAACCUCUUGCAUUAGAUCUAUUGCACGGUGUGAUCUCUUAGUGGCACAUCUUAGCCCCAACUGCCAAAGGUACCCCCUCUGCUUUACCGUAACAGUUUGAGACUCUCAGGCAAUGAGUGACAGAAAUGAAUGAAGCCCUGCCGCCCCCGUGAUCAUGAACAUUCAAUUAUAUAUACAUGCAUGCACAAGGGAUGUGCCUACAGCCUUUACAGCGAAUGUAAUUUUAUGCUGGGAUUCUUGUUUCUCUACUGACUCUAAUCCCUCUUGUGUCCCUCAAAUCUCCCAGUCUUUCUGUCCUACCUCAAAAUGACUUCUGUGAAAAGAAGAAACUUGCAAUGAAAGCUGUGUUGAGAGAGCUUUCCAGAGUCUAGAUACCAUUAAGGCAACAGGACUGAAUCAGAUCUCAAGUCACUCUCUGGCAAUGGGCAUUCUUGGUUACCUUCGCCUUUGGCUACAGGCAUCUUGCAUGACUAGUAUUUAUGUUACAUCAGAGACUCCAGAUGGAUGCUAUGAUGUCUCUGGAGACUGGGGAGAUAGCUCGAUGGGUAAAAUGCCUCUGUACAAACACAAAGAGCCAAGUUUAGAUGCUCAGUGCCCAGUUAAAGCCAGUGUGGCAGUGCACGUCUCUAGCUCCUGUGCUGAGGUCAAAGCCAGGAGGGGCCUUGCCUACCAAUCAGUCGAGUCUAGCUAAAAGAGCAACCUCUAGAUUCAAUGAGACCCAGUCAGAAAAACUAAGGUGAAUACAUAUCUAGCCUUCCUUUGUGUAUCUAGUAUGACAUUUUUACUAUGUGUUUGGAUUAUUUUAUUGGUUUAUUGAUAAUAGGUCUGUUGGUUGAGUGAGUGAGUCAGAGUCUUACUAUCAGCCCAGGCUAAUCUAGAACGCUGUAUGUAGCCCAGAUUGGCCUUGAACUUGUGAUCCUCUUGUGACUCAGCAACCUAAGC